rnacentral:rRNA from 1 species
UUACGCUCUACAACCCUUUGUGAACAUACCUACAACUGUUGCUUCGGCGGGUAGGGUCUCCGCGACCCUCCCGGCCUCCCGCCUCCGGGCGGGUCGGCGCCCGCCGGAGGAUAACCAAACUCUGAUUUAACGACGUUUCUUCUGAGUGGUACAAGCAAAUAAUCAAAACUUUUAACAACGGAUCUCUUGGUUCUGGCAUCGAUGAAGAACGCAGCGAAAUGCGAUAAGUAAUGUGAAUUGCAGAAUUCAGUGAAUCAUCGAAUCUUUGAACGCACAUUGCGCCCGCCAGCAUUCUGGCGGGCAUGCCUGUUCGAGCGUCAUUUCAACCCUCAAGCUCUGCUUGGUGUUGGGGCCCUACAGCCGAUGUAGGCCCUCAAAGGUAGUGGCGGACCCUCCCGGAGCCUCCUUUGCGUAGUAACUUUACGUCUCGCACUGGGAUCCGGAGGGACUCUUGCCGUAAAACCCCCCAAUUUUCCAAAGGUUGACCUCGGAUCAGGUAGGAAUACCCGCUGAACUUAAGCAUAUCAAUAA